GGAAAAUAUGCUAGUAAAAUUAUUAUUAAAUGCAAGUUGUAAAUGUCUCUGUGAGGCUAAGUUAUGUGGCAAAGAUAAGUAAGGCACCCCUACGGGAAACAAAACAGCUUGAAGAACAUUAAAACAACGUGGCUCAAUAGGAGCCUAGUGGGGGCUUCCUAACCAGGCUAGGUAAAUCUGAGGACCUCUGGCUUUGAACUGGCCUCCGGCACAACAUUUAU